rnacentral:misc_RNA from 1 species
AUGAUUGGCCUGAUGGCUUUAUCAAAUAUCCAACACCUCUGUGAACUGUUUUUGACCCUCGGGUCUUUUUUACAUGCAAACAUUUGUGUAACGAACGUCUUGUUAUCUUAACAAAACA